GCAAACUUAACUGCUGUGCCACUGGGCCGGCCCAAUCGUUUCUCAUUUGUAAAGCUUACCUAAGAAAUAUUCCAGAAUCUCUGGUGUUUCUGUUACAUCAUCUAAGUCCAUUUUCCCGUCCUCGUUGGGCUGGAAGAGCAAUAUAAUACGACCACAGAACCUGCAACGGCAGUGGUAACGAUGGGAAGUUACCGUGAACCAGGCUCUGUUCUGAGCACUUCAUAUUUAUUAAUGCACUUAAUCCUCACGAUGCUAUGAGAUCUCACGGCUGAUGCCUGGGUGCCCCUCCAGAGGAUGCUCCUGUCCGGGACGCUUGCUCGGGGCUGUCUGGGAAGGAGAGGUCCUCAGAGUCAAGCAUGUCCAACACAGAGAGGAGAUGGAGAGACCUGCUGUUUUAAGAUUUCUCAAGCACCCAUGCUGUGUCAGGCACUACACCGAAAAGGGACUCAGACGUGGCAGCAGAUGUGGGCUCUGUCCUCAGGAAACUCUGAAUCUACAGGAAAAGAGAAGACAUGAGCCAGAUCAUCAAAUACAAGGGCAAAACCCUCGCCUGCGGGGAGAGCUGGAGAGGAGGAGUCACCCCCAUUUGCGGAGCCACCGGAGGUCUGGGAGGGAUGGUAAACCUGUUUGUUUCUUGCCCAAGAAUGCUGGCCGUGGACACUAGAGAGGGCCAUCUCAGACCCGGUCCCCACGAUAGUGUCUGUAAAUUGGCUUAGGGACGAAAACAAAGGACGGACGACAGCAUCAAUCAGGAGCUCACAGGGCAGGAGGUGUCGGCUCAAGUAUUUAAGGGUUCUCUGCAAGGGACAGGGACGCAGGAAUGUGGGGUGUGGGAGACCGCAAAACCAAGAAAUCAGUUCAGCAUCUCGUCAGCACUUCUCUCUCUUCUUAGCGUGUUACAACUCCUCCUGAAUUGAUGUCCCCAACUGCUGUCUCUCCCUGGCCUUUUCUAUCCUCUGCAGCAUCAGGAGGCCAAAUUCCCCAGAUAAUGCUUAGCUCACGUUACUCCUCUUCUUACAGACUUUCAAUAGUUCCAUUGAAAACAAAGUCAAAGUUCAAUGGGCAUCCUAAGUCAUUUCAGCUGCAUUGGUUUCAACAAGCCCUUCAAGGGAUUCUGAGGCCAGCGAAGCUUUGUGAAUUAUUCCCAUACGGCUUGUCUCUUCCCCCGAGAUCCCUCCCUGACACAUCCUUCUCUAACCCGCCCGCGUAGCCCCUCAGCUCAGAGGCUAGCACACAGCAGGUGUUCCAAAACUCACGGAAAGGUGACAUGUAUCUUCUGAGCAAAAGCUGCUUGUCAAGAGGAGUGCCGGGUGCGGUGGGGAACGGAACAGAAUUAGAUGUGUCGCCGUGCAUUUGUUUAGUCUAUUGGAGACAAAAUUAACACAUGCAGCGAGUGAGAAUAACGAAGUGCUAGUCGGCAGGGUACAGCUCCUAAAAGCAACAUGAGCACAGCGAAGGGGCAGAGGCCUGGUGGUUUAAUUGCAGGUCCUUGUCCGGCUGGAGUGUUCCCUCACAGUGCCUGUUUAUUCUCUAUCCGUCCAGGAGUAAGCGGCCAGCGAACCGGGGGGAAAAGGAGGAGGACCACGGGAACAAUCCCAUUACUACUUAUAGUAACAAUAGCUGACGUUUCUGCGCUGCCACUAUGUUGUCACGCACUAUUCUCAGCAUUUUAUAUAUUUACUCAUUGAACCCUCAGAACAACCCAAAGAUAGGUAUCAAGGAGAGGUUGAAGUUGGGGAAAUGGAUUUGGAAGUCGUUGCAAUGUGCCAGGUAACCCAAUGGAUGAUGCUAUUAACCGACUUUACAGAGGUGGAAACUGAGGCACAGAGAAGUUAAGCAAGAUUCUACUGAUUUGAAGCGCCAGGUUUGAACCCAUCUGUGCACUAAGGGGGCUGAGAAGGGAGAGUGCGGAAUGGGAUUUUAGACCAAACAGGGAAACUCUUGGUGUCUCCAGCAAUAUCCUCGACCCUAGAACAUUCUCUUCAUUUCUUCCUUUUCUUCAUCACAUAAGCUAUGGAACAACUAAGUCCUGUAGCUUUUUUUCCAGCUAGAUUUUAAAAACAGACGCACAGAGAGUUACAGUUCAGUGUGAUCCCACGGGGCCCCUGCUUUGGGGACUCGCAGUAACUAAGUUUUAUGCCAUCUCCGACUUACUGUGUGACCUUGGGGCCAGCCACUUGCCCUCUCUGUGUCUCAGUCCCCCGCGGUGGGAUCAUAAUAUCUACCGCCAAGCAGUGCUCGGAGCAUGAAUGAAUUAUUAUCCUGGACGCCCUCUGAGCUUCUGGGACAAAGGUGCUAUGUUAAUACACAGUAUCGCUCUUCUUCUUCUUCUCAUUAGUAUUAUUCAAACCCAGAUGGCAUUAUUAUUGUUGUUGAUUGACAGCCCCGCAUAGCCCCAUUCACGGGUGUCAGAGAGCCAGGCGGCAGUUAACACAAGCAAAAACCAUGUUUCAAACAAAGCCCAAGGAACACUCCAAUAGUGUGUGCCAUGGGCUGCUAUUAAAGCCGGGGCAGCUGCGGUGGCAACACGGAGGGACAGGGCAAGGCAACGCCCGGAGCACAAAGAGGGGAGAGCGGGUCUUGACACUGAUCAUAUAAUCGUGCUGGGCUUUUAUAGACACUGGGAGGCCUCAAACAGAAUAACUGCUUGAACUUGAUCCACGGUUUACAGGCAGCGGCUGUAAAGGUCUUUGUUGCUGUUGCUGCCAUGUUAAUGACCCAGCUUGGGGCGCCGCCGGCCGCUCCUUCCAAAGAAAACAGAUCCGAGUGAGUCACUCAAUGUCCAGCAAUGAGUUUUCCAUUAUAGAAAAAUAAGUAUAAAUCUUUCCCAGUUGGGCGGCCAUACUGCGACGUCGGAGGCUGGCAAAGGGGUCAAGGUAGCUAGACGCUUUGACCCCCUGAACCAGCAGGCAGAGAAAGAGGUGCCUUCUCUUCGUUAAUCGCAAAAUAAACAGAUAAAAAUAAGCCGUGGUGUUCCGGCUCUGUGGACAGUGUUUGCAGCAAACGAGAGAGGAUGAGAGGCAGCUGGGGAGGAGAAUGGAGGCCCUUGAUGUGGGUCUCUAUUACCUCUUCCACUCUGCCCAGGCUGAUAAAACUCCGUGAGUAAUUGACCCUCCACAAGCAGGCGCAUUAAUCUUCGGCUGCAGGGCAGCCUUGAAACAUCAGAGAAGGCCAGUUAAAGUGGUAUCUUGGGCAGAUACAAUUUAGUGCCUUGGAGGUUUUAAAAAAUAAUUGUCCAUAAAUAUUCUGAUUGUCUUAAGAGAA